CUCUCCUCGGCCCUGGAGCAUAAUAGACCACCGUCUAUUGCGGGUACACCCUCCAAAUUGGAAAACACUGGACCAGAGAUUAACAGAAAUGAAACGCCAUUAGCCCGGCGAUGAGGAAAUCAUUUUUCCCCCUCCGGUGUUUUGGAUGGCACAGUCACACCGCGGCUACGGCGGCCGGGCAGCGGAGAAUUUCCUAAGCAAUCAGGACCAACGUUCCCGGGCAGGGAUCCUUAUCAGCGUCAGUCAGUGCAAAUAGCUGCUAACCAAAUACGCCCAGCUGAAGAGGGAAGGGGCCGACUCGCUGACGGAGGAAUCUCGGCGGAAGGACGCUGAGGCGGAGAUGGGAGGAGAUUAAAGCUUUACUUUUAGCAUCCAUGGAAAUUUACGUUUUGCCGGAGUGUGCCGGUUCUUGAUUACAAUGUCGACGUUUUACUCUGGAAUUAACCUGAUUAAUGUCGUUUAAGGUGAAAGCCCGUAGCUCAGCGUUUCUCAUGAUCACAGGAGAUGGAUUAGGAAAGAAGGCUUUCAAAUUGAAUAUACCUCUCCCUGCUCAGCCUGCUAAUUGUGCCAUUUACCACUACUUGAGUCACUGACCGACGCUAUUUAGUCAGACUAAUGAUGAUGCACAGUCCAGGCUCUUUCCUUGAUAAUUAAAAAAAAGCAUCUCUUUUUCUGUAUUAGCCUUUUUUGGGUUGGGGGGUUGAAUUAACAGGUGUAGGCAAAAACGUAUCGAGCUGCGGUCACUUUGUCCCUUAAAAUCACUUGUGGCAUUGUUAGCUGGAAAUGACUUUUUUUUUUUCUGAAUCCAUUCUCUGUCACUUGUUAUUGAUUAGGCAAAGCAAGAGCUGUUAACAUUCUUGUUUUGAACACUUAGUCAGGUGAGCCUGUUUAUCGAUGCAACAUCUACUCAAAAAAUCUCUCACUUACAAAGACUUUCCUUUCAUGCUCUUAAUAAAAAAAAUCCUAUUCAGUUCUUUUGGACUAAUGGUCUAACUUUGUUUUUGUUCUAUUUUUUAAUAAAAUAUAGUAAAAUGCAUGGAGUUUUGCAU
ensembl:lncRNA